UUAUUAACAAGAUUAUAUCCAAUUAUGUUCAGUUGGAUUUGAAAAAAACCCAUGGCGAAUAACACUUUAAAAGAAUAACAAUAGCAACAAAUUUCCUUCCUUUUUCUUAAAAAAAGGAACGUAUAGGCAAACCCGGAAAUAUUUUUUUGAUUGAAAUUAUUUUACAAUGUAUGUAAAUGGGAGGCCCAGGAACGAGAAAAGUAAUCAAUUUUAAACGUCAUAUAGUCAUUUGUACCUUAAGCCAUAAAAUCCAAUAAGAGGUCGACCCUUUAAACGUUGGUACUUUAUUUUCAUACAAUGAACUUUAAGGAAAUUAAAGUCUGUAAAUAGAUUUAACCUCAUGCUAGACCAAAGAACGCUAGUAGGGACAAUUCUAUUCAAACGGUUGUUCAAUAACAACCACGACUUUUCAAUAUAUCACCCAAUAUUGACAGAGGAAAGCUUAUAUUCAUUAGUCUAUCAUUAAUCAGGAUUUUGUUAUCAAAAGCUUAUUUAGCUCUCGCCACCUUCAACGGUGCCCGAGGAAUGUGCAAUGUGCCAUGUAAGGUUGUUAUCUUGAUAAAGAAAGGAAAUACAUUUCUUGCUGUGUCCAAAUCUUGCCACUUUUUCAAAAUGACUUUGAAAAAUUGCUUAAAAUACGUAAAUGAAUUUAUUUGUACUAUUUUAGAAAUUAAAGUAGCCGUAAAACAUUUGUUACGUGUAAAUAAAUCCCAUUUCAUCUAGAUAUUUUAAGGAUAACAAAUGUGUAGAUACAGGAUAAAAGAAGAAUUCUAUGUGUAAUUAAUCACUAUUCUUUCAAAAAUAUUUGUAUAAUUGAUAAUGUUUAGUAGCAUUAUUUAUAUUUCCUCUCAUCAGUAUGUAAGGAAUGAUGAAAAAAAAAAAAAAUCCUCGGUAACUAUUCAUUGUAGAUACAAAAAUGUAUUAACAUACAUAUUUAGAUACAUGUGAAAUGUAAGAAAACAAAGGGAUAAUGAUUUUCAUUUGUAGUGCAAUAUCAGCAAUAAGAAUUUAUGACAUCAGAUCUUCCAUAGAUCUGUUUCAAAGAUUUACAUGUAGUUUAUUGAUUGUGUUUCUAAACAAGACAUUGCAACUUUGUCUCUUAUAUUGGAUAGGGAAAAAGGGAUUCCGAAAGUAUUAUUUAAAUUUUUCACUUUCAUAAGUCAAACGUUAUAUUUUUGUUCAAAUGAAACAAAUAUCCUUGAUCGGUUAAAAAGAACAACAGCAGUUGACGGCAAAUCAAGAAGAGUGUGAGCAGAAAUAAUAUCAGAUGCAAAUUUAAUAAACAGACAAUAAGAGAACAAUAGAAUAUAGAAAAUUAAAAAAAAAAGAUUAUAAUUUGGAAAUAAAUAUUUCUUCAUCCAAAUAUAAGAGACAACUUUAUGCAGCUUCCACAUCAUGUUUUGGCUAUUGGAGAAAUAUUUCUGAGUUCAUUUCAAAGACGUAUGGCUUUUGAUGCUGUGUAGGUAAUUUUUAGUUUUACUAUACUACCUUUCAACUUGUUAGGUAACUUACUUGUGUUGUACUAAUAUACUACAGAAUUGUUUAAAAAAGUACUCUACAAGGUAGCGCCAAUAUGACUUUGGCAGUAAUAUGAAUCUUCUUGUUGAAGAAAUAUGUACAGGGGGAAUAAUUAUAUUAAUAUUUUUAUUUGAGAAAAAUGAAUGUAUAUGUGACAGAUGUAAAAUAAAACUUUAUUAAAAC
rnacentral:lncRNA from 1 species